rnacentral:rRNA from 1 species
CCUACGGGUGGCAGCAGUGGGGAAUAUUGCACAAUGGGCGCAAGCCUGAUGCAGCCAUGCCGCGUGUAUGAAGAAGGCCUUCGGGUUGUAAAGUACUUUCAGCGGGGAGGAAGGUGUUGUGGUUAAUAACCACAGCAAUUGACGUUACCCGCAGAAGAAGCUCCGGCUAACUCCGUGCCAGCAGCCGCGGUAAUACGGAGGGUGCAAGCGUUAAUCGGAAUUACUGGGCGUAAAGCGCACGCAGGCGGUCUGUCAAGUCGGAUGUGAAAUCCCCGGGCUCAACCUGGGAACUGCAUUCGAAACUGGCAGGCUAGAGUCUUGUAGAGGGGGGUAGAAUUCCAGGUGUAGCGGUGAAAUGCGUAGAGAUCUGGAGGAAUACUGGUGGCGAAGGCGGCCCCUUGGACAAAGACUGACGCUCAGGUGCGAAAGCGUGGGGAGCUAACAGGAUUAGAUACCCGUGUAGUC